rnacentral:tRNA from 1 species
GGGGGUAUAGCUUAGAAGGUUGAGUAUUUGUUUUGCAAACAAAAGGUCAUAGGUUCAAAUCCUAUUACCUCCA